UACAGAGGUCCCAAGCGUUGUUCGGAUUCAUUGGGCGUAAAGGGUGCGUAGGCGGCGCGGUAAGUCGGGUGUGAAAUCUCGGGGCUUAACUCCGAAACUGCAUUCGAUACUGCCGUGCUUGAGGACUGGAGGGGAGACUGGAAUUUACGGUGUAGCGGUGAAAUGCGUAGAUAUCGUAAGGAAGACCAGUGGCGAAGGCGGGUCUCUGGACAGUUCCUGACGCUGAGGCACGAAGGUCAGGGGAGCAAACGGG
rnacentral:rRNA from 1 species